GUCAUUACUGUGGAGGGGAAGGUACAGGAAGGAGGUAGGGUACAGAACACAUGAUGUAGUAGAGACCUGGCAUUACUGUGGAGGGGAAGGUACAGGAAGGAGGUAGGGUACAGAACACAUGAUGUAGUAGAGACCUGGCAUUACUGUGGAGGGGAAGGUACAGGAAGGAGGUAGGGUACACAACACAUGAUGUAGCAGAGACCUGGCAUUACUGUGGAGGGGAAGGUACAGGAAGGAGGUAGGGUACACAACACAUGAUGUAGCAGAGACCUGGCAUUACUGUGGAGGGGAAGGUACAGGAAGGAGGUAGGGUACACAACACAUGAUGUAGCAGAGACCUGGCAUUACUGUGGAGGGGAAGGUACAGGAAGGAGGUAGGGUACACAACACAUGAUGUAGCAGAGACCUGGCAUUACUGUGGAGGGGAAGGUACAGGAAGGAGGUAGGGUACACAACACAUGAUGUAGUAGAGACCUGGCAUUACUGUGGAGGGGAAGGUACAGGAAGGAGGUAGGGUACACAACACAUGAUGUAGCAGAGACCUGGCAUUACUGUGGAGGGGAAGGUACAGGAAGGAGGUAGGGUACACAACACAUGAUGUAGCAGAGACCUGGCAUUACUGUGGAGGGGAAGGUACAGGAAGGAGGUAGGGUACACAACACAUGAUGUAGCAGAGACCUGGCAUUACUGUGGAGGGGAAGGUAUAGGAAGGAGGUAGGGUACACAACACAUGAUGUAGCAGAGACCUGGCAUUACUGUGGAGGGGAAGGUACAGGAAGGAGGUAGGGUACAGUUUUUCAUUGGGGUUUUGCCUGCUACACAAGUUAUGUUAUAGUCACAGACAUGAUUUAACCAGUUUU